rnacentral:tRNA from 1 species
AGGUAAGGUGGCUGAAUAAAGCAUUAGGCUGUAAACCUAAUCAUAGGGGUUGAGCCCCCUUCUUGCCA